UGUGAUAAUAGCUGAAUAUCGUGACCUCAAAUUCAAACCUUCAACCUACUAUUGUGUGAAUGGUACUUUGACUAUUGACAUAUGGAGUGAACACCAAAUAAUAAAAUUCCAUUUAUAGUUAUUGGUCCCUGAUCCCAGGGAGGUCGCCUGUUCUCAGAACUAUUAUUGUUAUCUGUUAAUAAUCUUAUUGACAUAAUAAUAUUUAGUUUACACACAUUCCAAGAACCGACCACGCUCCUACCACCUGUCACAGCGCUUAUUACCCAGAUUCCCUUCAUCAAACAAAGCAAUGACGGGGCUAAAGGCUGGUUUGGUUAUAGGUUUGUUAAUGUUGUCUUUUCAACAAUUAUGAGUCUCAGCAUGAAUGCUAACCCUUUAUUUUAUAACUGCAGCAGCUUAUGGUAGCAUGGCAACAUUAAGAAGUCAGAGCAGGACGGAAGUCACACACAUUACUUCCUCUGCUACAAUGGACGUCCUAUCGAGUCAGUUCUAAGAAACUGGACAUAAGUUAAUAAUUUUGCACGUUUGAAUCACUUCUGUUGGUCAUUUUGUUUUUUAAGAGCUUGUUGGUUAAUAUCUGAAAAGGUUUGUCAUUAAGAGGAAUUUAUAUUAUUUGAUAUGUAUUAAAUCUAUAUUUAGUUUGAUGAGGUAAAAUGUAUCAGUAAACCCCUCUCGCUUCUAAGUGCCUUAAAAUCAAUUGUUCAAAAGUUGCUAAUCAAUGGCUAAAUUAGACUAAGAAAUGUAAUUGUGGCAACCACGUUAUGUGGUGUAGUUUGUUUACAGCUGGUUAGUAUCGUAAUUUCGUGUUGACAGACCUUAUUUAAUGCAGUCAUUUAAAAUCUCAUUAGGUUUUUGUCGAGGGAAUCAGACCACUGCUGAGUUCUGUGGUUUGUCAAUAAAAACACAUCAUCACUGAAGCACUUUAUGGAAUAAAUAAGUAUGGGAUUACCUAAAAUUCUUCAGUUUUCAUAUUACCAUGAUGUCAAGUUAUUUCUUAGCUUUGCAGGGAUGGAUAAUUGACCUUAAUAAGCCCAUGGUGAAUUAUGAUGUGUACCUAUGAGUUAAUAGUUAAUAGGUGUAAAAAAGCCUCCCAGUGAGCUCGAUUCAUUUUUAUCUUAUUUAACUUCUCCAAAAGAUUUGCAUUUCAAUCAUGAGAAUUCAGACGUGACAUAAUUUCAUAUAACUCUGUUCCAAAUAAAGCAGCCGUCAGUGCGAAGGGUAAAAAGGGUAAAAAGGAUGCAAUGACUUAAGUUGUCAAUCUGAAGUUUCACUGUGAAGAGCUGUGUUUUUUUAAUCGUUUUCUAGUGUGCUCUACUGUACGCCCCCUAUUGAUUCCGGUUUCAGUCAUUACUAGGUGACUAGUGAACCUCAGCAGGGCUGCCUGCUUCCCCCUGAGAGUUCAUCAACACUACAGCCCAGAGCAUAUAAUCUUUGUUAUGUGGUCAAUUUAGCAGUUGGCUGAGCACAGCUUGAAGAGAGAAGCUACAACAAAACCUUUCUGCAAGCUCGUAGCCCAUCAACAUGCAACAAUAGCACUUCUUUAGGAAAUAACAAUAACAAUUCCUAUGACAUAAGAAGUAACACAACAUUUUUUUUGAUUUAAUCUAGAAGCAUAAUAGUUUCUUUUCUAUUCAUUGUGUUAAUUGUUCGCUCCCUUUGCUAGCAACCUUCCCCUCAGCACUCUCUGUUUAGGUGAGUCAAUUAGCCGGAAUCUAUCAAGCCGGGUUCUGCUCCACUCCCUCUCUCACCCCCUCGCAUCUCUGCUGUAUCUCUUUUUAAUUCAUUUUUAAUUCCCGUGAUAGACAGUGAACCCAAACCCACUGAUCUGGAGAAGGUUGAUGAAGUUGUCGGGCGCGUGGUAGGAGCGUGUUUCAUUAUUAGCAGUGUAAAAACAAAAUUAUUGACAUCGAUAUAAUUAUUAUUUUCAAUACGAAGAUAAUAAUAACAGAACACCACCCUGUGACCAGUGGACAAUAACCAAACUAUAAAUUCAAUUUGUGUUUCUCAGAUUUGAAUUUGAGCACAGGUUUUAUAUACAUUAUCACAAUACACAUGCACAGUUCAAGUAAUAAAAACUGCUCCUUAAAGUUUAUUAACUUUUAACAAUAUUAUUACAUGUGACCUCGUUAGCUCCCAUCUUUGUUCUAACAGCGAGGUUGACCUUUCUCUAGUGAGAGUCGGCACCGAACUGUUUUAGGUUUCAAAAGAACCACAUAAAUUGGUUUAUUGCAUCAAGGCUUUUUGACUUUAACAGGAAUCUCUAUUUCAACAAAUCAAAAACAAAAGGCUUGAAAUUAUGACCUUUGAAUCGUUAGGGUUGUUUUUAUAAUAACUCAAAACCAACACACUAACAUAAGAGAAGUAGCAGAAAGCUAACACAAGAGGAAAGUUAAUAUACCAACAAAGAACCAACAGAAGUAGAAGAAACCUUCCUCCCAGAGUUUAAAAGUGUAUCAACAGUGAGUGCAUCUAUGUUUUUACAUGUCUCUAUUUCCCAGUAAAGUUAACAAGCUGUGGUCACAGUUUGAAGCGUAGUCCGUUGGAUGCUCGUCGUAGAAAACCCAUUUCAAAGAAUCUGAAUGAGACUGCCAUGUAAAUGAAAGAAUAAAGAACUUGAUCUAUUACUUGAGUUAUAUGUUGGCAUAAGGAGCCCUCAUAUAUUCUACUCAAGCAUGUGUAACAAUACCGCAGUAUCUAUGAACAGCGUGUCUGUGGCAUCGCUCCCGUGGGAAAUAGCAAGUAGCGCUCUGUGGGACAACCUGGUGCCACAGAAAUACUUAAAAUGACCACAACAAACAUACAGCAUGGUGGCCUUUUUUAGCAGACACAGCUAUUCAAGGGUUAACAGUUUAAUGAUGCAAUUGUGCCAAUGGUGAAAAGAAGUAAUAAUCAUUUGACCAAGAUUAAAGUUUGUCUUACAGACAGUUUUACUCUGUGUUGGUUGUUAAAGAAGCUAAUUAAAACCCUCAUGAAAGCCUCCCCUCGGGAGCCAGAAAGAUUAAAUACCCUCAUGUGUCUUCUCAUUCCAGCUGCACAGCACAACAGAAAUGGAGCAACGCUUUCACAGCAUGCAUAGUGUGCAAUGGGUUUGAAGCGAUUCAGCUGGGAUUAUUUUCAGAUGCUGUAUUAAAUAAUGUAUUAAUCUUGAUGGGGGAGUUACCAUUAUGAUGUGUAAUGAUAAUGCAGCUGGAGAUGUAUAAAUAUAGCUUCAGUUUCUUUACCAGGUCUCCUAUUCAAUACAGUUGAGGUUUAGUGUGGCGAUUAAUUGCUUGUCAGAUUUUUUUGUUUAAAAUUGUUCAUAUGGUGUAGUGAAACCUUUGUUAAUCCCUUUAUGUCUUGUUUCAAACCAUAUUUGUGUGUAUAUUACAUCAUAUUACAUGUCAUUCAGCUGACGCUUUUAUCCAAAGGGACGUACAUUAAGUGCAUUCAACCAUAGGGAUACAAACUCAGAAGAGCAAGAAACAAGAAAGUGCAAUUUUGUCAAAUAAGCCAAUUUACAAUGUGAGGGUCUCAGGACAGAGGAUCUCGCAUGUGUACAGACUGUAAAGCCUUCUGAGCCAAAUUUGUAAUUUGUGAUUUUGGGCUAUACAAAAUAAAAUGAAUUGAAUUCAAUAUAUACAUUAUCUUCUUAGACCAUGGCGACUGUGUUUAUUCUCCAAAUCCCCUUUUAUGGGUAUGCGUGUUAUACUGUCAUACUGUGAAUACUGUGAAUUGAUAGUCCGUCAGUCGAUAUAUUGUCAUUGUGGGGCGCACAUCUGUGUCUUCGGGUCCCUGCUCUUUGACACGUGGCCUGAGCCCCCCAGCAGAGCCCCUGUUGCUGAGGGGAAACCAGCUGCACACUCAUCCAAUCCUCCUGCCGGUCCUCCCACCAAUGGAACAGCCCGGCGCCACCGAUGCACCCCUGCCAUCGGAGAACAUUUGGUACAUUCCAUCGGUGGUGCUCGAGCUGGUUUAUUCACCGAGUCAGUAGUAACACCGCAGUUAGCCAAACGGGAGAUUGAGCGCGCGCACACACACAUACAUACACACACUCUCACACACACUCAGCAGUGAGGAAGAGAGUUGCAGAAAGAAAGAAGCAAAGACAUCCUCAGCUCGCCCAAGAGUGUCAGUUUCCUCGUUGUUUGGAGAUCCUUGAUAUGACCCUCUUUAGCCCGAGAUGUGAGUAUUUAUCAGUGUGUGUGUGUGUGUGCGCGUGUGUGCGCGCGCGCGUUUAUGCAUGCAUUGGUGGAUGUUUGCAUGCAGCACUGUGUGUCGGAAAGACAAUGUUGCCACUGUGCUUCUCAUUGUUUGUCUUGCCUUCAUAGAAUCCGCCUGCUAGCCGCUCUGAAUCCUGGCUCAUUUACACUUUCCCCCCCCGGAGCAGUUUGUCCUUACCCACACGUUGUGACCCAGUCAGCUGGUGCAUUUGAGAAGGAUCGGUGGAAUGUUUCAGUUAUGAUGUAAACAUAGUGAUGCAUGAAGAGGUGUUUCUGACAACAUUAAAACGGUGUAUUUACAGACAUUCAAAUCAACCUCUCGCAAGCCUCCCAUUGGCAAGGUCAGCAUUUGCUCCCCGGGCAUGGAAGCUCGUGAAACAGAAUUAACUUAUGUCUGGUGAUGUACUCAAGCAUGCCCCCCCCCCCCCCCACACUCCUUCCCCCACAGCUGUUGAAUUUGAAUUAUGCAUCUUUUUUUCCUAAAAUGAUCUGAGCUGUAACAUCUUCCAUACCGGGGAAACAGUACUUUUCCCACAAAGCUGCAUUUCUUUUAAGUCUCAAGUAAAGUGUGUACGCAUAUAUAAUAGAAGAUGAAAGCCUACAGUGAAAGGGAAACUCAUCCCAGGCUGCCUCCCCGUGGUUUGCAUAAUGUGGGAUGUUUGAGAAGAGUCUGCAACUCAGAUCAUAUACAGUCACUCUUCACUCUUUUUUUUGCUGUCAAAAGAGACACUUUUCUGGUUCACACCAACAACUCUGUUCUCAACAUGCCAUCUAUUCAUAUCAACCUUUCAUAUUUAUUUACUUAUUCAGUUAUUCAUAUGUGCAGUAUGCUCCAAGUUCUAUGCUGACAGUUGCGAUUACUAACUUUGCAUUUGCCGCUUUGCUCACAGUUUAGUUCUAGUAUGUGACAUGGAGAGGAUGCAGCACGACCAAAAGAAGCCUCCACGCUGAGCUUUUACGUCCCUUAUUUUACAAACUACCGUUUCUUCAUAUUUUGGCUGGCAGGAUGGGCUGAUUAAUUAACUUUGAGGAAAAAGAGGACUUAAGUGCUAUGAGCGCAUUCAGGUGAAAACCAGCAGAAAGAAAAUGUUCAAUCAAUCUGAAAUUAUAGCAGUUAGAAUGUGUGUCAACAUGCAUACUAUUUUCAAAAAAGAAAAGUUUAGGGCAAAAUAAAACGGGAACUACAUGUCAUUUUUAAGAAUGGAACAAAUAUUUAUACAUAUAUUUAUGUUGCUUUAUUGUAAAUAGUGUUUUAUAUUGACAACUUUGUUCUGCGCCAAGAUGAUCAAAAGGUUAAACGUUUGAGUGUCUUUACCAGUUAGAUUGAAAAUCCCUUGGCUCAUAGAGGGACAUGUACAAUACAAAAAAAUUUAAUAAUUAAUUAAUAAUUAAAUGACGUUGUUUCUUGAAUCUGCCAAAGCCCAUUAAAGUAAAAUAAUUAUGGAUUCCCAGUUUAGAUAAUUGUUGCAAAAGCCUUUAUUCAAAAUGGCUUCAUUUAGUCUUUUAUGAUAGAAUGUGUGAACAGUACAAAACAUUGUUUUUCUUCUUACACUGAAAUACUACUGAAAAUGUUCAGCAGUCAGCGGGUCGACCACUUGUCAGGUUGACCUUUUGUGCUCAAAAGUCAAUUGGGUGAUUAAGAGAUCAACUAAAAAAUACAUAAACAUUUAAGGGACGUGGUGCAACCCAUUGCAGGACAAUUUGUAGAAUCAGGAAGAAAGAAAAUGAUAGAAGACAGAAGAUUGAGUGUUUGAUUGAAAUUAAUUAUGGGAUUAUCCCAUCCUCCACAAAUCAGUGGUCUUCAAAGUGCACAGAUUAAUAGACGGCUCAGUACUAAAUUACAUCUUCCUAUGCGCAAUACUGUGUUAACAAUUUUCUCAGAGUGUGUUUGUGAGUGUCAGGUUUCAAGGAAGUUUGUAGUGGGGGAUUUAUUACUGGCAAGACUGAAAUUCUCGGUGAAGCAGCAGUAGUAGUGGAAGUGUGUGUGCGUUUGUGUGUGUGUGUGUGCGUGCGUACAUUUCCACAGAAAAAUGACUUUACUUGCCAAAAAAAGCCUGUGAACAUAAAAUGAAAAAAACAGUUCCUCCUAUUCGUGUGUUUUAGCGGAGUCCUUGACUGUGGUGAUGUUUUGAUGAUGCUCUUGAGUGUUAAGGUGGCAUACAUGAAUCACCUAAAGCUAAUAGGUAGUGAUUAAAAAUAUAAUUACUAGUUUACCCUGAUAGGUGAGUUGUCUCAUCAGUGGGUGCAGGGAGGUUGAAAGCACAGGUUCCGACAGAGCAGCUUUCCUGGAGCUCGUAGAGAAUCCAAGGACACGUCAGCAGUGUGGAUGCUGACAGACUGGGGUCUUCAAAUGCCUCCUCUAGAGAUGCAGAAUAGUUUAGAAUAAAACAAAAAAAAGCCUUUCCGCGCUGUGGUGUUUUUUGUUUCCAGGCUAGAUGCAGAUGCAGCUGCUUUUCAGCUCCUCGUUGGCUGACCAUGGUUGACCUUGAUGCCCCCUCUGGUGCCCUUUGCUUCCCAUUAUACCGUGUUUGUUUCAGUAUAAUCUACCUCUACUGGACUCGGUUGGGCUUCUUCCUCAUCUGUGAUGUGAAUACUGACUGCCCAUAGAAUGUUAGACAUGCCGCCCAUGAUGAUGACACGAAUACCAUACAAACAAUCUUGUCAUGUGUAGUUUUCAAUAAUAGUAUUUGAUGCAUCCCAAUGUCCGUUUUGGCAAAAUGUACCAAUGCAAUAACAAGAUACAUAAAAAUACAUCUCACUAAUAACAAAAAGUGGCAUGGAUAAUAUAUCAUUUCUAUUGUGUGCAUGUUGCCAAUAUUCAAACUUAGAACAUCCAUAAAACAAAACAGAAAGUCAAGAUCAAAUCCACAAAAAUGUGGAGGAGCUGUGAAGCGCACACACACACACGCGUGUGCAGAAGAAGCUAAAUGUGACACGUAGGCCUUUGUUUACCAAAUAACACGCUGAUUACCUCCCAAGGUUUUACCCGUACUUUGACACGACUGUGCUCAGCAGCCUCCUCCAGUCUUCCUGUUAUAAUGGCUUCUUCAUGCAGUCAAUCAUGCAGUCGUCAUGUUGCUCAGCAAACACAUUAUAAAACUCUAAACUGUGUUUCCUUCUGCCACACAAUUACGUCAACCCAAUCGAUGCAGAUCAGGAACUGUCCAGUAUGUCUUUAAAUAUUCGUUAUUUAUUUUUUUGUCAUGGUGAAAAUAUCAAACUCGCAGAACAAGAAUGGCAGGAAGUGUGAUGGAAAUGUCAGUAAUAUUUGUACAACAUAAUUUCACUUGUGGGAAAAUCAUUUUCUAGUUUCAUGUCAACUUUCUAAAAUCUAAAACGUUCUGUUAAUAACAUAGUUCAUAUUAUAUCAUAUUUUUCACAGAUCCUUUGAAAUGCCAGAAUCAUUUUCAUAUUUUAAAUAUGUGUUUAAUUUGGGUCUGCAUCCCUAAAAUCAACAAUGCAGUCACAGCAGUAUUGUGCAUGCUCGCUCUGCUCAGUAAGAGUUAAGGUGUCCACAGUAAGGGCCUGUUCCUCACCAGCGGAGUUGGCUGCAGAGAAGCAGGUCACUGUUUGACUAAAAUUUGUCAGGAAAUGGUCUCUGCUGCGGGAGGUAAAGGCACAUACACGUGUCAAAAUUCACACAUUCAAACCCAUACUUUAUUAAUUGUAGCUUGCAGCCAUUUGACAGUCCCACUGUGUGAGUGUAUGUGCAGCUGGCCCAGUCACACUCCAUUCACCCCCCCAUCUGUCCGCGUCAGACCGGCCCAGUCUCCUCCUCUCAUUACUCCUUCACUUGCUUCCCUCUUUUUUUACACUCACCUUUGGAAAGUCACUGGUGAGCCCCGACCAACCUGAGCAGUGAGCUGUUGGCAUAUCCUGUAAUCAAGAUGGCUCGUGGUUAAACGGCCCAUUGGAACAUGUCUGCAGAGCUGUUUGCAGGAGAGAUGUAAGAAGACAGAGAGAGAUGGGCUUCGGCUUUUGAGGCUGAAGUCUAAAGCUGCACCCGAUGUCUGAUGUAGGCUUGCAGGCGGGAGACAAACAUGGAGGUGGCUUAGAGUGGCAGAAGCAAUCAACGGAGAGUGGUGGUGUAUGGAUGCAUUUGAAAAACAACGCUGUUGGUCUUAGCCAGCCCUUUAGUCAUUAUCAUGUCAAAUGAUGACAGCAAGUGGGGUUAAUUUUGCUCCAAUAAAGAGUAAACUAGGGUGUAGGAUAAACAUGACCAGACAACGUAGGGCGUUUUCUGGUUGGAUAACCACUCGAACAGUCCUCCUUGUGCUUUGCCCCUGCUGUCUUGUGUUAUUUUCAUGCUCUUUGCUCAAUCAGUACAAGGUUAAUUGGUUUCACUUCCAUGCAGACAUGAGCAUGAGUGGAGAGUUGAAGUCCAGCCGCUCCAGGGCAGCGAGUAAGAGGGCCAGCAACACCAUUUAUGGGUGAGUAUUAAAAACCCAAAACGCACAGACACACACUCCUGUCCUCACACACUAAGAUAAUCAUGCAUUCGCUUAUUUGCUGCAACCUUUUAUCGGAAACUCAAUGGCUGCACCCCAGUGUUGCAAUCAAUGCCGCAUUAUUUGUUGUUGGCUUCAUACCAACUGUGCAUGCAAGCUGCUAUUGAUUUUAGCCGGAGGGGCUGUCUCCAUCCCUCAACGUUUUAAUCUCUCUGUUGAUGCAGUGCACACAUAUGACUCGAGCUGAUUACUGUUUAUUGCUGGUGGUUCAAUACAGUGCCGUGGUGCUACACUAACAUGAACUGGUUGUUUAGAUAGCUGUCAAAUAGAAUGGAGGGCAGUGGGAGAGACGGCAGUGUGUCGAAUUAAGGUAAUAAUAGUUUUGAAUUCUCUUUUUACUUUUAUUCUAAAAAUUGCUUUCAAUCUCAUUGCUUUCAGUACUCUUACCUCGAAUUAUCUUCUUGCACUGCUUCUCAGUACGCCUUUAUUUCUUCUAAUGAGAAGAACCCAUAGAAAUGACUUGAGAGUUCUCUUACCCCACUGACUGACAAUGCAUUUUCUCCUAUAUGUCCACAGGAUGUCUACACAGUGUCAUCCUUCAUAUGCUAAUUGAAAUGGAAAAAAAGGCCUGUAGAAAAUGUCAAAUAUUUAGAAAAAUAAAAAGGAGACAAAAUGUAAUGUAUAAAGUUAUUAUUGGGUCCAUAUAAACAUAUUUACCUCCAAAUGUUAAAGUUAUGUUAUAUUGACAGGAGACAUAAUGAAUAAUAUUAAAAUAAUUUGCUGGACAUCCACCAAAGGACACCAUAAUGCAAAAUAGGUUUGAAUUACAAAGAAGAGGAAAUUAAUAUUAAUUAAGAGAUGUAAUAAUAUUGAGGCCAACUUGUUUGUCCCCAGCCAAAUCAGCAAAUCUCUUUAUCAUUCUGCAUAACUGGGGCGUUUGUUUCCAGCUCUACUAUAAACACUGAUAUUUUUUUAAUAUUGCCAGCUCCUUUUCCCGUCCCUGUGCUGGUUCCAUCAUAGCAUAUCACAGUAUGUAGAUUCAUACAUAUUGCAGUGUGGGACAUUAUUUCCGGCGGCAUGUCCUUUAAAACCGCUCAUCUCUGCUUGCGCUCCCUCCUCCACUGCCUUAAACCCGCAAACGCUAUUUGCCUUCCAACAUGUAGUUAUUCAACAUCGUGCGGCCAUGCAUUAAUGAGGUUAGUCACACACACACACACACACACACACACACACACACACACACACACACACUAUGACUAACCUCAGAUGGAACACACCUGAGGUAGCAGCACUGAUACAGCCUGAAAUGACCGAGACUUAAAAUUGUCUCAGGUUUACGGACACAUCCAGCCGGCUAAACCAGAGAACCUGUCCAGCCUUUGCCCACAUUAAAGAACAAAAAGUCCACAGCCACGUUUCCGGUGCCCCCAUUUUGAUCGCCACUGCACACGUGUGAGCUUCGUGACAGCUUUUGGGCCUCAUGGAGGAAAAGUUCCAUUGUGACCAGAGUCAUUUUAGUUUAUCCUCUCUACACCUACACAUUGGUUGAGCUAUUUCAAUCAGGACAAAAGCAAACAGUCACUCCCAUCUCUGGAGCUGUGACGUUAGCAUGGCUAAAAACAUUCAUGUGAAACGUAAAACGGACUCUAAUGUUUUUACUUUCAAUUCCAUUUGAAGUCAUUACCUUAAUGGUGUUUUGAAUUCCCUUCUACGAACGCCACACCAUAGACUUUGAGUUCUAGAAACUCUGAAAUUAAAUGAUAACACAAGCCAAUCUACAUCGUUUUCCAGAAACUAAAUUACAGCUGAGGUCACAAUUUAAAUUAUUGCGACAUAGCCACCAAAAGUAUCUUAGUCCAGGCUCCAGUAACCCUGCUCUGUAUGUCUGGCAGCAGUGUGCCCCGUCUCCUCCCCGGUGCCACUGUUCUCACAGAGCCGGCCAACAAACACGACUGCCUGUGGCCUAGAUUACUUUGCGAACAAACUUUCCAGCCCGCGGAAGAUGCAGAAGCAAUGUAAUCUGCUUCGGAACACCAUCUGUGUUGCCAGAAUUUCUUUCUCUUUAUUGCUGUAAAGUAGCUCAAAGUCAACAGUUAAACUGAAGAAAAGCUUCUCACUUUACACGUCUUCAUUAAGUUAAAGUCAGUCCUUGCCUCAUGAUAACUGGCACAUUUUUUUCCCACUAUGCAAAGUGACAGAGUCUCCCAUAUCUUUCCCUCUGGGACAUUUUCUCCCUGACAGCUUACAGUUUUGUCAUCACUUAUUGUCUUUGUCACAGUUCCUCUCUAGCCUGGCGAGUCCCAGCUGUGAAAGGAGGGAUGGGGUAGAGAGAGCAGCAAGCAUUUCACAUCCAGAUGUUGCUGCUGCAGCCGUGGCCUCUGUGCGCUCCAGUGCACCACUACAAAAGCUCACUGUAUUGUGUGGCCCCUAUAGGGAGGCUCAGGUGCCAGAAAGAAGAAGCCAGAGGUGUCAUGUGCCGUGUGUGUAUUUAUAUGAUGACUUAGAUAGCUUUAUGGGUUAAACACCAUGAAAGACUGCUGAUGGUUUUUAAUAAAUGUCUGUGGUGAUGAGUUCCUGUUGUACGUACAUCUCCUUCAGGCAAUUCCUCAGAUACUUCUUUAAAUGCGGCCUAAAGCAGUGGUCCCUAACAACCGGGCCACUUGGUUCAGGGCUGCAGACGAAGAAGAAAAUCACAAUUACAUGCGCUUUUCCCUUUUUUAGUCGUGCGCAGCAAUUACUAACCCCCCCGCCCGCCUCCCGGUCCGCAGCGACCGUACGCCUGUUUAUAAGCCACACCGCCAUGAGCGGUUGGGAAAAUAUUUUCUAACAGAAAACCGGUCCGUGAAGCGAAAAAGGUUGAGGACCCGUGGCCUGGAGGAGGAACUGAUUACAUUUUGUGGAUGUCUUUUGUUUAAACCUUAGACAUUGAUCAUUUGCAUGUGGCUGUGAGGUCUGUGUGGAGAUGUCAGGUCUGUGUUCAGAUCAUUACUGUGCUCCUUUUUUUGUCUGCUCCAUUUCACAUCUGAUUGGAGAGCGUGCUGGCCUGAACACAUAUCGGCAGAGCGUACUGACCAUCUGCGCUCUGGUAUUUCUGUCUGCUUCCUCCACGUGCUUUGGUCUUUUAGUAUUCUCUCAUCUGUUUUAAUUGCCAUCAGGGCUGGUCAUAGAUGACUUUAGGUCAGGAUGGAAACAAUGCCGCAAUGCCUCAAACACACAGGGGCAGGAGCCGGUGGAGGCAGCAGGAUAUGAAGUCUGAAGUUGCCGUGAGCAGUGGGGUAUGAUGUCUAUUCCGUUUGAUACAGAGAGUGACAAAACCCAAAGGCUAAUUUGAUGGCAGAUAUUAAAAAGAUGGACAAUAAGGCGACAGGAAAUGAGCCAUAAGGGGGCUCCAGCAAAUAACAAUACAAUUUUUGGUUAAUUACAACUUUGCCAAUCAUUGUUAUAGGGUAUCAUUGUUCCUCCAUGUUUAUUGCUAUUGCUCAUGGGGCAAGAGGAACAAACUAAAUUUCAUGAAAAUUGGGCCUGCAGUCUUUCAAAAACCCAGCUGACAAACAAACCGGCAAACCUAACUAAAAACAUAACCUCUGUGGAGGCAAUAAAAUGUUGUCAAUAAUCCUGAAUCAUUCUUUAAAACCUUUUCAGAAGCAUUGUGGCAGUAAUGACAAUGGAACCGUAAAGCUGCAUAUUGCAUAUGCAACACUUAUUUUGUCAGAUUUCUUAUGUGUGGCUCGCCUGGGGCUCAGCUGGCUGACAUCUGUCAAACCACCAGAAGCAGUGAAAACGCAAAGGGCAAAUGACGGCAAUCAGCAGUUAGGAAAGCAAUGUUGAAAUUCACCCGUUUUUGAUGCGCCAACAUUUCUUUGCUGGACUGUGACAUUAUUCCCAUUGUCACAACACAGCAGCUGGCUGCCAGCUGUUAUGACACCCACCCACAGCUAAAUCUGUAUGCAUGACAUCCUGAUUAUCUCUUUAAAACAUGACUGUAAUAGAUUUUAUUUUUAAUAAAAGGGGUCGGGUGCAUUAUGUGCAGGGAAACAUACUGGGAGAUAAAAAGCCUCCUGCAGGCCACCCAAUUGAUUUCCUCACAGGACAUAAGCAGAUGCCCUGUUUGCUUACUUCACAAGAAUUUAUUGCAGCUAUUAUUUUUUUAAAGUUGAUCAACCAAUGAAGCGAAUUAAGGCAAAACACGCACAGUUCUUUCCUUUGUGCUCUCGUUGUGAGAAUAUUUUAUAUUGAAUAGAAGUCUAUGAAAACAAUUGGCCUGUUUCUCACUUGAUGGGUUUGUGAUGUGAUGAUGUGUUUUCAUCUUACAACUUUAACCUUUUCAUAUUGUGUUUUCAGUUUAACUCCCCCGUCAUGUUGCUUCAAUCAGACAGCGCAUUCAAAUAGCAGUUAACGAACCAAUAGGUGACGUAGCAGUGAUAUGGUUGGAAAAAUACUUUAUAUGUAGUUUAUUUAAGGAUACUUAACCCUUUCACACCAUCCACAGUGAGCAAGUGAUUAGCAACAACUAGCAACAACGCGUUUCAUUAAUGCAAUAUUAUGCUUCCGCUGUGGCAAAAAUUCACUAAAAGAAAAUUCACUAAAGCAACCAUACGUUCUCCUUCCACUUCAGCAUUUAAAAUGUCACUGCCAUUCUUUUUUAUGUCCAGCUUUCCAUCUUUUUUUUGUCGCCUUUCUUUCUUUCUGCAUGGUUGGAUGCACAGACAAUUUGGUGCCUGUAAUCCAUUCCUUGGUUGGGCGACGAGGGGGUACUGUAGGUAAAGGUCAGUGCAGUCAGAGGUGGAUGUGCUGCUGAGGAAAAGGUCACUCCGUGCAGAGAAGGGAGGAGAGUGCAUCUUCCUGUUUCAAGGCCACUGCCACAUCAUUUUUGAAGGAGCAUAAAACAACUAAUGAUGGGAGGCCGUUGAAGCGAGGAGCAAGGGAGUGAUAUGGAGGCUGUAGACCUGAUGCUCUGUGGAGGAAUGCCAGGCGUUGAUGGAAGAAAUGAUCGCGUAACUGAGGAAAUUCAACAAAAUGAAUCUAUGUUGGUGUGUUGGUUUAAAUGCAUGUAUUUCUUUAGCUGUGUUACAAACCCGGAUGAGUUAUCGCACCUGUCCUGCAGGCUUAUCAGUCUACAGGGGUCGGUCCCCCUGCUAAUGAAGUCAUUUCUACCACUGCUGCCUUUUCGACGGUUGGAGGACAGAAGGGAAGCUGGUCAGAGAGGUAGAGAAGGAAGCAUGAAUAAGGACUGAUGGAAAAAACAUGCAGGGUGUAAUUCAGAGAAACAACAGAACAGUGCCAAACAGCUGAAGGAGAGUGGAAGAGAUGGAAGAGAAACAUUCAGAGAGAGAAAUAAAAACAGUUAGCGAGAGUGAGGGGUGAAGAAAGCAAAGAAGGGGAAGCAAGUGAGCACUGCGCUGCGUGUCAUUGGCCCCCUGGCGUGAACAAUCCAUCUCAAAUUGAUCUUCCAGCUCGGCCCAGCAGGGCAUUCUGAAUCAAUCUCAAAUUGAUCUCAGUGCCAGAGGUCGGAAAAACUAGCAGUAGAGCUUAUCAGAAAUAUGGUGGUGCUGGGAGGAUCUGACAGGGAAACUUAUCACACUGCACAACAGGAAAUGGGCUCUGAGCCCCCAGGGCAGCAUGAGGACGAGCCUUCUCCCUGUACACACACACAAACACACACACACAAUCACACUUACCAGCACACACCGAUUCAAUGUCUGACUUAACACAGCCAUUCGCUGACACGUGCUCCCCAGGUUCAGCACAGUACGGAGAGUGUGUACUGUGCAUAGACACAUGAACCAACACACUCACACAAGCCAUCUCUCUGUCGCAAGAUCAUAAACACCUGCAGGCUACAUGAUGAAAAAAAGCCCUUGUCAGAGCCCAAUGUGUCAAUAUAAUGUAAGUUAAGACAGGUGAGAUUCAAGGCCUGUAGCCCACAAAAGGCUUAUAAAGCUUUUAAUGUGGCCUCAGCAAGACUGUGUGAAAGGCCAGAGGAAGGACAAUCAAUACCAGCGUGCAUUUAGACUGUCAGUGAGCUUAGAACAACCUGUCCCACCAGGCCCUCUGAAAAAUAAAGCCAUAAAAACAAUUGACUUUCACCACAUAGUAUCUCUGGAAAUACUCUGGUAAUCCAGUCCAGGAGCAUUCAGGUGCCUGCCGCAGUGUCCUCAGCACAUCGAAUGGCUGCUUAUGUUUGGUAACUUUUAUUACUGUUUUCAUUGUUCUGUUUUCAAAGGGGUUGUUGAAUACUUUUUCAUGCUGCUUGCAUCACCAGAUGGAAGCUGUCAGGAACUUUACAGAGCAAGAAUAGAACAAAAAAGAAAACUCAAUAUAAUCCUAUUGCCUGGACACAGUAAAUUCCAUAAUACGUCAACCAUGCAGACACUUGAGGUCAAAACAUUUGGCUGAUACUUUAUUGAUAUGUCAAAAAGUAUCUAAAAAAACUGAACAUUUUGAUUUAUUCCUUUUAUUUAACACAGAAUCCUCUUUUGUACCUCUUUUGAGGGGACAGAAAAUGACUUAAUCCUUACGGCCUCCAUUUGGCACGUCUCACAGUGUCUUGGUCACUAAAUUUUGGCAAAAUAAGUUGAAUGAAAGAGCAAUGGGGGCUCUUAGGAAAUACUUAUGUUGCUUAAUGGGCAGUGCUGUGCUCUGGUAAAGUAAGAGAUGCGGGCAAUGAGCGACUAAGGGAGUUCAGUGAAAACGUGUGAGAUGGGGAGCAGUGUCUUUGUCAGCUGUUGGGAGCAGGAGAGCCUUUUCUUGUCCUGCACUGUAGAAGCGCUGUGUCAGCACAGAAGGGUAAUGGGGGUUAGCAGAGUGAGUGAGUAUAUAAAAAAGUAUGAAUUUGUGAGUACAAGUGGUUGCAUCUCCCAAGAGGUACAACAGAACAUCAGUGGCCCUCAGGCUACUAAUAUAUAUAUGCAUGCACACAAUAUUAAAAAAAAAACCCGUUUCUUCCAGGAUGUUUGGAACAAGAAACAUCCGACAAGACAAUACAAAGACGGAUUUAAAGACAUAAUAACAUCUUGUUGUGGCCAUCUCUUUCUCCGCCACAUUACCAGAUGCACAAGCACACAUUUGUUACUGUACUCUCUUUUACCUGUGAUGUCCUUCAAACACCACCGUAUUACAUUAUCUAGUUGUUUUAAACAAAAUCCUGGACCUUCAUUAGUUGAUUGAAUUCUAGCAGCUUAGCACUGUGAUGCCAUCUUGGGACACACUGGUACCGGAGCCAUUGGUCACUCAUGAGUACUGUGUGUGUAUGUGUGUGUAUAUAUAUAUAUAUAUAUAUAUAUAUAUUUGGAUCAGACUGUGUAUAUAUGUACAGUAUAUGUUAGAAAAUGCAAUGAAAAUAACUAUUAUUGUCAGUAAUGUGUGGAUCUAUUAGGUGUGCUGCGUUGUUUCUGUCGAGUUCUGCUUCACUAUAGGAUCUCCUUAAACCUCUGCUAAUGGCUCAAUGUUACAAACAUGUGCAAUUUCUUACACAUCCCUGUUUCUUCACUUUUGAUUACUCUGCUUUUUCAAUAUCUAUCUUGACAGAUGUGAAGCAGAUUCAGGGUGGUUGUUGACUUAAUGUCAGCUGAGGUUUAAGCGUUUUCCAGUGAGAAUUGCAGACUGCAGUCUGAGGUUGAUUCUGUAAAUGUCACUCAUGUAGAUCACCGUUAAAAUGUCAGAAAGCGCUUCUGGGGCCCUUUCUGAAUGGCAGCUUCUUAUUUGUCCUACAUCUCCCCUAAAUAUUCAGAUCCCUCUCUUUUUGUCCAAAGAGAUAACUGUAUUUGUUUGCUUAGUGGCUGGAUACCUAGAGACAGCUACUCAAACACACACACACGCAGAGCUUUGCUAUUUAGCUUCCUUUACUUUCCUUUUGGUAGUGAGCGCACAAGUUAAUUUGCGCUCUGUGUAAUCGUACUGCUUUGCCCUUCAAGGCGUUGCGUUGAAGUGACUUUUAGCUUUUAAUUCUCCGAUAAUUUCGUGACAGCAGCAUAGUUCAGGACAUGAAAACGAUGCAGGGGCUUGACAGAGUUGAAAAGACUGAAAGGAUUAACUACUUCCGGCAGCCUCGGGUAACCUUUUUAACUUUGCGCUCUAAGUCGGCGCCGAUGAGGGGUAGUCGCCCUUGUUAUAGGAGGUGUCUAGAUAUCUGUGUUCCUCGAGCUCUUUACACUUAAUGAGUGCAUGAGAGGGCGCUCUGUGAGUGGCCCCCGGAUGUCACUUGUCACCUUACUGCUGUGUAAUGCUGCUAAUAAGCACUAAAUAACCUGAAGUCGGAAAUUCCAAAUGACUGCUCCCACCGAGCCUCUGAGCUUUUGAUGAACGACAGCGAGCAGAAAGCAGUUGGCCCUCCUGGAGAGAAGCCACGCAUAUCUGUUCAUGCACUUUACACCAACAGGCAGAUGACAAAUAGCUUUCACUCCCUCUUGAACCGCAACAACAAAACAACUUUUCAAAGUUAGUAAAAAAUGAGGAAUACAGUACAAUACUGGAACAGGAAUCACCGCAGCAUAUAAACAGACACAGAUUAUACUCUUAUCUUAUUUUUAAACUUGCUUUGUAUUCCUCUAUUCAAGACUGGUUCAUAUGAAGUGUUUUCAUGGUGACUACAGUAUUUAUUUAUUCAUCUCCCAUCCUGCAGGAGUGCUCAAUGAGUAAUUAAUAUAAAAGUGCUUUAGGCCUUCACAAUAAACACCUGUGAAACUAUCUGAUUUGAAAGGUGGAUUAUGUUAAUCUGUAGUUGAGACAGUCCAGGGUCGGUACAUUGAGUCCCUCCCCUGCAUACAGUAUCUGCAACAUCGCUGUGUUAUCGCGUUCCUGUUAUGUUUCUUUCAUGGGUUUCAGUGUGGCAGAGCUUCUGUUCAGUGUUUUGAACCUAUUCAGUUACUGUGAGAUCAAAGCCCGGUGGCAAAUGAUGAAAUUAUGGUUUAAUGGUUACGGACUGUGAGACAGCAUCUUUAACCCUGAUAGAAAAACAUUUAAAAAAUGCUGUUUCUUAUGACUCGGGGAGUUAAUCAUGAGACGCAUCUCUGAAUUCUUUGGCUAAUCAAACAGUAACCAGACCAUGCUUCACCCCGGCUCCUCCCUUCCACGGCUGAUGGAUGCAAGCUGGCUGCAUCAGUAAGACACAGUGACAGCUGUCGGGGAAUCUGACUCAUUUCUCUCUCGGUCCCCUUCCUCCUUGUCAUUUUAACAAAGGAGCCACUCCGCCCUUUCUCAGCCUCCCAGUCCUCUCCACUUCAUCCGCUCUUGUUUGAGAGCUUUGGCAAGUUGGCUCUUCCUCCUCCUUCCGUCUGAGUGUCGGUUUACCCCUGAUGAGUUCACCUCUGAAGGGACAAGAGGGAUGCAUUGUGACGUACAAAUGGACCAAAGGAAAGAAAAUAUUGUUUUCCUUUGGGACACUCUUUAUCGCGUCUGCUGUUCCCUGAUGUAGGUCUUUUGUACAGGAACUGUCUAUUAAGCUCCAGCUGUAGACCUGGCCCCCGUUCAAUGGCUUAUUGAUGCAGCAGCACUCCACAGCUCCUCCCUGUCAAUGUCUCUUCUGCUCCUCUCUGAUGUGGCUGCAAUCAAACCCAAGGGGCUGUUUGCCAUUCAGGGCUAUUUAAACUAAAGUGAGGAAGGCAUCCGAAACAUAACUCCUAUCUAUGUACUUCAACUUCUCCGACUGAGUGGAUUUCUCCGCAGCUGUAAUAUGACGUGGAUGCAAGUCAGAUAUGGAUUUAUGACCUCCUGGGGUUAUCAUUACUCUUCUCCCUCUCAAAACGUACAUUUCACAGUACCUACAGUACAUCCAAAUGAUGCAGACCAGUGGGCUAAGCAAUAAUGAAUGCCACAGGAGCAGAUCACAUGCUAAUGUGCUAUUGAUUGGCUUCUGUCCCGCACACAUCACUGAUAACAGAGCUUCCGACUCCUGUGAGGAGCAAGAAGGUCUGACAAUGCUUCUUGCAGUAAGGAGCUUUAUCACACAUCAGAGAUGUCCCCGUUGUCCAAUCAGAAGGAACGUGAGCAGGAAAACAGAUGUUUGAAGGAAUACACACUCGCGCCCCCCCUCAGUGUCAUCGUAGAUUGUCUAUGGGGACAGAAGGAAAGACAACAAAUGGAUCAUUCGAGAUCACAUGGGUUCCAGCUUUAAAAACACAAUGCCACCGUGAACUAGGUCAGGUCACAGACUCCGUGUACAUGAGAUCAGCUGCUCUCAUCACAAAUUGUAUUAAGGGAGGGAACUCUGGAAGUCUCUCCUGGUACUUUGAGUGGAAAUUAAACUUGGAGGGAAAACGCUCAAAGGGUCAGUAAGGGUCUUUGUGCCGAUUGAGUCAUUUCGUGACUAGUUGGUUAAUGGUUAUUACUCAGCAUUACAUUGUGAUCUGAGAAUCAUAACCAAAGAUGCUGGUUGUUGUUGCUGCUAUUUAAGCAAAAGAAAAUUCAUGUAAGUAAUAAAAUAAUAAGUAAGUAAUAAAGAUGGACAAACAAAAACUUCAAGCAGAGAGUGAGGCAUUACCGAUCAGACGACAAAUAUAUUCAAUGCAGUAAUAAUACAAGAGAUUAGGAUUAUUUCAAACAGUAGACACAAAAUCUGUGAAUGCACUUUGACAAAACCCCAAACUACUUCACUGGGUACUUCACCCAGUUGCAUUACUUAAUAGGUAAUUAGUUUUAUUUGACUCUUAACUCCACGGGUAGAUAAUGGAGAGAGGCCAACGUUGGAGUAAUGUGCUCCUGCUUUUCCUUUGUUAGCAGAUGAGCUGCAGUGUUUGAACCAGCUGAAGCUGCAAACAUACAAAGAAUUACUCUCUGAGCGUGAAGACACAAAAGCAUCGGAUUCAUUCAUCUGCACUUUAAAGAAGCUAAUGUGUUUCAUCCUGGAAUCAUUUCUUUACUGGAAAGAGCGUGAAGGAAGUUUGUUGAUUUGUGGAAAAUAGUCAUAAGAGUUCCGACGAGAAAUGAAAAGAAGCAUUUUGUCUGCAAGUCUAAUCUUUAUCACACCAGGAUUUCAGCAUUACACCAUUAGUAAAACAGUAAUAUGAUAAGCUGAGGGUUGCAAGUUGGAAAAAUGCUGCAAAUUUAAAGCGACAGACACAACAUAAACUAAAAACCCAGCUUUUGUAUUCACUUGGAGAAUGUAACCUGUCACAGAUCAUCCCUCUAAUCUGACUGCAUUUGCUCAUGUGGCUAAUUAUGUAACAGGUGAGAUAUGAAAACAAUGGCUGAAAUAUGGGACACAAUGAGGAGCACAUCAACACUUUUUCAAAUGGAGGCACACACAUAACAUUCAUUAUUUAUUGUUUAAUGUUUCCAAGAACAUCUGUGUGCUUCUAUUUUAUACAAUGACGCUUGUUUUUUGUUGGAGACGUGAAUGUAUCCAUUCUGGUUUUUCAAAUGUUGGAAUUUGGCUUUAUUCAGAAUAAAAGCUACUUUUCGUACAGAUACAAACCCUGUUGUGGAUAUUGGCGAUAGAAAGGUAAAAACAUGCUGCUUAGAUCCACUUGUCUAUUCUACACUUAACGGUUUAUUUUAAGGGAUGAAAGCUAAACUUGGAUCUGUAUCACACAUCUUCACCUGCUGCAACGACCCGCUGUUGCUUCAGGAGUCUGGCACAAUUGAUUUAGCUCCUGAAAGCACACAGGAAUGAUCUGAUAUGAUGCUUCUGUUAAAUGCUGUCAUUUUAAGAGCAUUGUCAGUAAUCUUCCAGUAUUGAAUCCUCUCAUUUUUAACUUGGCAUUCACAUAAUUCAGUAACUGGAACUAAUUUCUUCAACUAUGGCGAGUGUGCUUCAGAAAACGAACAAAUCAUAUCAAAUUGUUGUUCCAUUUUCUUGAAAUCAUGUAAAAGAAAAAGGUUAAUUCUCUUAAGGUUGAGUACUUAAUGCGGCCCUUUUGCUGCUCGUCUCUUCUCUGCCUUUCCUGGCUGUCUCUCUCACUGUGACACAAGUAUAUACCAAAUGAAACUGUAUUCCUUGACAAACAGUUAUAGAUUAAAAAAACGAUACUGAAGAUGAUGGUUGCUGCUUUCUUUUACUCAACUUCAAGUCUGUUUAACACUGUGACAUAAACAUGCUCAGUGUAUAUUUCUCUGAGAUAAAGACAUUAUUAUCAGUGGCACGUUUAUGUCAUUUUUAUAGAUUUAUUUUUCAUCUGUGAAGAUGUUGCGUCUUUCAGACAAGAGCUGAAAUUCUGCUGUUAUUUGCACUUAAACUGGUACGUCUUGUAUCAACUUAUUUAGUCUGUUCGUUCUGAGAAUCACACAAAAAACGGUUGACAGUGCUGUGAAUUGAUUGUCAAAGAAGUGCAGGAGGAACGACUACAGCGGUGAAUAUUUAUCACCGAAAAUAUCAACACAAUCAAGAAAACAAGAAUCUCACAAAGAAUGUGACUUUGAUGCAUUGUCAGCACGAUUUAAAUUGCAUCUGUCAAGGCUCUGAGCCAAUGGAACUAAAUCCCUAAUAAUUCAUCACACACACACGCGCACACACACGCACGCGCACACACACACGAGCACACGCGCACACACUUCGGGGUUUCUCCCACAGUUGGAAUGAAACUGAUGAAUUUCUGUUCACAGCGGGUUGUUGGGGAACAUUUCUGGGCUUCUUUGUUCACAC
ensembl:lncRNA